rnacentral:rRNA from 1 species
AUGAAAUUAAGAUGUGCUCUUCAAAUGCUUAAGCCGGGUGGUGAAGGGGAGGACUUCAUAGAAAAGGUAGGGCAACGACUACAUACAUUAACCUACCACAUGAGAAAUUACUUCAGGCUUGAUUUCCCACAUCUAAAUAACAUCUCUAGAUACAAAACAGAAGAGUACUCCCACACUGAUGUGAACAGGUCAUCGUUGUUUAAUUUCCUUUUUCUUUUUCUUUUGAUCCGACUGGCAUGGAAAAUGAUGAUUCACUUUAUAAUGGCAUCUUAUUUUAUUUUCUGUAUAUCUUGCUAA